UACGAAGGGGGCUAGCGUUGUUCGGAAUUACUGGGCGUAAAGGGCGCGUAGGCGGUUUGACAAGUAGAGUGUGAAAGCCCAGGGCUCAACCCUGGAACUGCAUUCUAGACUGUCUUACUUGAAUUCGGUAGAGGUGAGUGGAAUUCCCAGUGUAGAGGUGAAAUUCGUAGAGAUUGGGAAGAACACCGGUGGCGAAGGCGGCUCACUGGACCGACAUUGACGCUGAGGCGCGAAAGCGUGGGGAGCAAACAGG
rnacentral:rRNA from 1 species